rnacentral:rRNA from 1 species
UACGUAGGUGGCAAGCGUUGUCCGGAAUUAUUGGGCGUAAAGAGCUCGUAGGCGGUUUGUCGCGUCUGCUGUGAAAACCCGAGGCUCAACCUCGGGCCUGCAGUGGGUACGGGCAGACUAGAGUGCGGUAGGGGAGAUUGGAAUUCCUGGUGUAGCGGUGGAAUGCGCAGAUAUCAGGAGGAACACCGGUGGCGAAGGCGGGUCUCUGGGCCGAUAUUGACGCUGAGGAGCGAAAGCGUGGGGAGCGAACAGG